AAUCGGCCUGGUAGUGGGGGAUAACGUCCGGAAACGGACGCUGAUGCCGCAUACGUCCUACGGGAGAAAGGAGGGGACCUUCGGGCCUUGCGCUAUCAGAUGAGCCGAGGUCGGAUUAGCUAGUUGGGGGGGUAAUGGCUCACCAAGGCGACGAUCCGUAACUGGUCUGAGAGGAUGAUCAGUCACACUGGAGGGGAGACACGGUCCCCGCUCCUACGGGAGGCAGCAGUGGGGAAUAUUGGACAAUGGGCGAAA
rnacentral:rRNA from 1 species